AACGAACGCUGGCGGCAGGCUUAACACAUGCAAGUCGAGCGCCUCGCAAGAGGAGCGGCAGACGGGUGAGUAACGCGUGGGAACGUACCCUUAUCUUCGGAAUAGCUCUGGGAAACUGGAAGUAAUACCGAAUGUGCCCUUAGGGGGAAAGAUUUAUCGGAUAAGGAUCGGCCCGCGUUGGAUUAGCUAGUUGGUGGGGUAAAGGCCUACCAAGGCGACGAUCCAUAGCUGGUCUGAGAGGAUGAUCAGCCACAUUGGGACUGAGACACGGCCCAAACUCCUACGGGAGGCAGCAGUGGGGAAUAUUGGACAAUGGGCGCAAGCCUGAUCCAGCCAUGCCGCGUGAGUGAUGGAGGCCUUAGGGUUGUAAAGCUCUUUCACCGGAGAAGAUAAUGACGGUAUCCGGAGAAGAAGCCCCGGCUAACUUCGUG
rnacentral:rRNA from 1 species